AACCCUAGCCGAUCGUGGGGAUCCGCAGGCGCCGCCCCUCCCCUGCGGCAACACCUACCCCUUCCCUGCUCCGCUCCCGCCUGCCACCACCACUCUCCCCGCCGCCAUCCCCCGCGACAGCCCGCUGCCCCAUACCUCCCGUCCUGCUCCGGCCACCACGACUCUCCUCCGUCGUCAUCCCCUGCGACAGCCCCCUACCCCACACCUCCCGUCCGGCUCCGGCCACCACGAUCUCCUGCGGCGGUCCCUACCCCACACCUGCCGUCCGGCGCCAACCCCUGCGACAGCCCCCUAUCCAAUACCUGCCGUUCGCCGCUGGCCACCACACCAUCCCUUGCGACAGCCCCCACUGCAACCCCUGCCAUCCGCCGCCGGCCUCCAUCGCUCUCCUUCGUCGCCACCUCCGCUGCCUGGGUUAAUAUGCCUGGCUGCGUUUCGGGCGAAAUAAUCUCGCGGGAGACGGAGUUGAUUUGCUUCUGUUCGUGCGGCAGGCGCAGUCUAAAAGGAGUAAUUUUUUUUCCGGAGGAGUCUGUCUGUUGAGAAGUUGUAAUCGGGAUCCUCUUCCUCUCCUCUAAUAAUCUCCUCCCUUUUGUAGGAAUUGUGCAAUCGGGGAAGAGAAGAGAUAAAUUUCUGUUUGUGCGGCAAGGGCUGUCCAAAAGGAGGAAUUUUUCCGGGUCUAUUAAGGAGUUGUAAUCAGGAUCCUCCCCCCUCUCCUUUAAUAUCUCCUCCCUUCUGGACUAGAGCUGGCCUUAAUAAAUAGAGAGUCGGAGGAGUAGGAAGGGCCCCUCGUCGAUCGAAUAGUUGGCGUCCCUGAUUUGAUUUUUGCCGGCGAUUAGUCUCCUUUCUUGCGCCGGCCUAAAUAAGCAGAGGAGGAGUAGUAGGGGGGAUUCGAAUAUGGGCAGAUCAGGCAUCUGCCGCUUGUCGCAGAUCCAAUAAGGUCGAUCCAAAUAGUUCAGGCGUCUCAUCAUCAAGAACAGUUUUUUCAACAAGACCAGUUGAUCUGAUCAGCCAUGACGAAGAAAAGACGUCACCGCAGAAACAACGUAAAUGCAACACAGAAAGCAACUCUCAACAAAGACGCUGCUGGCAGCGAAGAAGUCGGAGACAGGCUUAGCAAGCUGCCUAAUGACAUUCUACUCAACAUUCUGGAGAGGGUGGACACGCUCGAUGCAAUAAGGACCUGCAUCCUCUCGAAGCGAAUGAUGAAGCUCUGCACCGAGCUCUCGCAGUUCUUCCUAAGUUGUAGUUCCAUUCCAGGUCACAAUGUUAGAACCAACAGUGAAUAUGUCAGAACCAACAGUGCUGUGGCUCAUGUAACGGAUAAUAUCUUGAGCACAAAGAGUCCGGAGAUCACCAUUAGCAAACUCAAAAUCAGAUUCAUCUUGAUGCAACCUGAUUGUUACACAAUUGGCAAAUCUGUCGCCCGCACCAUGGCAACACAGAAGGUUGGUGCAGCUGAGUUUGAGAUCAUAACAGAGAAAAUUCAUAAGAAGUGUUCUCCUGCCGAUCUCCUCGAUCAUGCGAAGCAGUUCAAUGAUUUUUUCAGUGCUUGUCUGGAUGCAUUUGCUGGCCUCAAGCGCCUGUGGCUGCGCAAUAUGAGGUUUGGUGAAAGUGACAUACCCAACAUCCUCAGCACUUGCAAGCUCUUGGAGUCUUUGCAUUUAACCAAUUGCGACUCGGGGAUGAAUUCUGUGGUGCAACUAGAACAUGCUAAACUUACUGAGCUCGAGGUCAAGUAUGGGAAAUUUGAGAUAGUUGAGCUGACAUGUCUACCAAAACUCCAACGGGUGAGCUAUAAGGGCUGGUUCAACUCUCAUAAAGGUCCCCUGUAUUUUGGUUUUGUACCACAGCUUUCAAAGUUGAGGCUUACUAAAAUUGGCACCCGACCAACUAGGACUCUUGAGUUAAGUCAGCUCCUUGAUAAUGUUCCUCACAUAGGCAACCUGCAUCUGGAUUUUCAAAGUGAAAAGAUUUGGGUUCUGCCAGAAAGCCCGAAGCUGCUCAGGCCUGUGCUCAGCCAACUACAGCAGGUGAAUCUGGACAAUCUUUCUGAAGGAUGUGAUUUAGCUUGGACAAUGUUUAUUCUUGAAGCUGCACCGUCCCUAAAAGAGCUCUGCAUCACAGUCUUGGAUCAUUGGUGCAAUAUGGUGAUGAGAGACAAAGAGUUCCGGAAGAACAAUGGUUUCUGUGAAAAGGCAGACGUGGACCCCCCCCCCCCCCCCCCCCUGAUUUCAAGCACAAGAAUCUGGUUAAGCUCACCAUCUAUGGCUUCCAACCCGACGACAUCUUUGUGCGAUUCAUCAGGUGUGUCAUGGAACAUGCGGUUAAUAUGGCAGAGAUAUCUCUGCAUGACAGGAAGAAGGUAUGUCUGCGCUGUGGUGUCUUGGAUCCCGAGAUGAAGUACCCAUCGAGGUAUCCACGGAAUGCUGAUGAACGCACACAUAUCACUGAAGAAUUGGGGAGGUCUUUGCCUGCUAUGGUUCGCUUGUGGACGUAAUUGACAAAAAGAGAUGUACUACCUAGUAGUCUCUACUCCUAAUGUCUCAGUUGGUAGUCUCCGUUCCGGGUUUA